CACAAACCCACACAAAAACCAAAACAUUGUUUGUUACAUUGUUUUGUUCUUCUCUGAGAAAACCAAAAACUUUAAAAGAUAGCCAUGGAUUGCGGCAUCUAUGGCGUCGUAAAAAAACUCCGCACGUUGUUAUUGUUUAUCUACAUCUUCAUGUUCGUAAUUUUCACUUCUCUGAAAUUCACACACUCUCUUUCAUCAUCUUCAACAGUUCAAAUCAACUCAAAUUCAAUCUUAGUAGCUUUACUUGAUUCACAUUACACAGAAUUAGCAGAACUCGUUGAAAAAGCUAUGUUGUUACAAACAUUAGAAGACACUGUUGGUAAAAACAACAUCACAAUUUUCGCACCAAAAAACGAAGCUCUAGAAAGAGAUCUUGAUCCUAAUUUCAAGAUUUUUCUUCUUGAACCGAGGAAUCUCAAAUCUCUUCAGACACUGUUAAUGUCACAUAUAAUUCCAACCCGAAUCAAUGGAUCCGGGUCGGUAUUCGGGUUGACCCGACAUAGAACACUUUCUAAGGUUCAUCAAUUGAGUAUUCAAUCGAAUGGAACUUCUCAGCAAUGGAGUGUUAACGGUGCUAAGAUUGUUCAUCUUAACGCCGUUACUAGACCUGACGGUGUUAUUCACGGAAUUGAACGGCUUCUUAUUCCACGGUCUGUUCAAGAUGACUUUAACCGUCGCCGGAGUCUUGUGUCGAUUGCUGCUAUUAAGCCGGAAGGAGCACCGGAGGUUGAUCCGAGAACUCACCGGUUGAAGAAACCAGCUCCNNNNNNNNNNNNNNNNNNNNGCCGGUACUUCCAAUUUACGAUGCACUGGCUCCGGGACCUUCGCUAGCACCGGCGCCGGCACCAGG
rnacentral:lncRNA from 1 species